rnacentral:rRNA from 1 species
GACGAACGCUGGCGGCGUGCUUAACACAUGCAAGUCGAACGGAAAGGCCCUGCUUUUGUGGGGUGCUCGAGUGGCGAACGGGUGAGUAACACGUGAGUAACCUGCCCUUGACUUUGGGAUAACUUCAGGAAACUGGGGCUAAUACCGGAUAGGAGCUCCUGCUGCAUGGUGGGGGUUGGAAAGUUUCGGCGGUUGGGGAUGGACUCGCGGCUUAUCAGCUUGUUGGUGGGGUAGUGGCUUACCAAGGCUUUGACGGGUAGCCGGCCUGAGAGGGUGACCGGCCACAUUGGAACGGGGAUACGGCCAAGACUCCUACGGGAGGCAGCGGGGGGGAAUAUUGCACAAGGGGCGGAAGCCUGAUGCAGCAACGCCGGGUGCGGGAUGACGGCCUUCGGGUUGUAAACCGCUUUCGCCUGUGACGAAGCGUGAGUGACGGUAAUGGGAAAAGAAGCACCGGCUAAUUACGU